UUUUUUUCUUUUUUAUAGGUUGUGUAUCCAUAGAUCAUGCCUACUGAGGAGGAGUCGGUGAUGACUUCUUAUAUUACUCUAGGUCAUGUUGAUACUAUUGCAUACCCAAUGGUGGAGUUAAUAAAGAAGGGAUUGGGUGGAGCAACAGCCAUAAGAAGAGCAGUUAGGCAAGGUCAGCCUAAUGUUGAGGCUCUUCAUGACUAACCUUUUACUAAGGCAGAUCCGGGUGCGUCUUCUGGUGAAGUUGUUAGUAUUGGUGGCAGGCAUGCUCAUGUUGCUACCACUCAUGAUGAUGACCAUGUUGAUGCUCAAAAAAGAAUAAAUAUGUCUGAAAACACCCCUUUUCGCCCUUAUGCAGGUCCCUCUCACCCCUUUUCACCCAUGUGUUCUCAUUGCAAAUGCGGUGCUUCUUCUAGUGGAGUUGUUGGUGUUGGUGGUAGGCAUGCUGAUGCUGCUACCACUCAUGAUGAUGAGCAUGUUGAUGCUCAAGAAAGAAUAAAUAUAUUUGAAAAUGCCCUUUUCACCCAUACACACUUCCUCUCACCCCUAUUCACCUUCGUGUUCUCAUUGCGAAUGAGAUGAGUGCAAGGACAGAUAGGAUAAACUCUUUAAGAAAAUAGAGCCUAUCUAUAAAGCUAUUGAGGAAUUCAAAUCCAAGAGGAAUAUCAUACCAUCCAAGAAUGUGAGGGAGCCACACACUCCUACAGCAUUGGUUAGGAGAAAGAAAAGAGCAAUUAGAGACAUACUCUCCGCUCGAAAAUCAAAAGAAAUUACAAUUCUUCCCUCUCCAAAAGCUGUUGAAGUUCAGGGGCCAGUCAAUAAGGUGGACAUAUACGUGGAACUUGGCGCUGAAGAGAAGAGGGAUCUGCGACAGGCCAAGAAUGCUAAGCCUGGCACACCAGAUUACCCGAGGCCUCCCUUUUCCCCCUAAGACUUCCAGACUAUGACCGAUAUGCGUAUGCCAUACAAGAAUAAUGCAAGUUUACUUUUCCUAACCUGUCCCUUCUAAUCUAACCCAUGAAGAAGAAGCUACGCAAUAGAUUUCACAUCUGUUGCAAUAGCUGAGUAUACUGGUACAACUGGUAGUGGUUCUGUUGCAACUUGUUAUCCAUCUGUUGCAUAAGUUGCGUUGGAUUAUUGAUUCAGAGAACGCUAUGCAACAGAUGGACUAUCCGUUGUAUCUUUACAAUUACUAACCUAUUUAAAAAUUGACUUCUUAUCUCACAGCAUGUUGACAUAAUUCUCUGCCUCAUGAGAAAAAGGCAAUUAACAUACCAGGAAGCUUAUGAUGCUGUCGAUAGGAUAAUGGACCUUCUGUAAGAAGCUCAAGGAUAGGUACGAUUAACUCAAUGGAAAGGCGUCAGCCCUUGGCGUGGGACUUGAUUUCCUAGUUCCUACGUUGUUCUUUGAUGAAGAAGAAACGUUAACAUAUGUUAUAGGGGACAGGCCAAAUCCACAUGGCAAGAGCUGUACCGAGGUAAAAAGGAUUCUUGUAGUCAUUAGCAUGAACGACAUGCAUUAUUAGGCUGUUGUGAUACUACUCGAGGAGGGAAAGAUCAAUGUUUAUGACUCCAACAUACCUCUCAUCAACGAUUUCAAUCUUUUUCUCCUCGUGGAGCCACUGAUGGUGUUGUUGUCCAUCUUGUUGAGGUAGAGCAAACUAGUGAAUCAUUUGCCAAAGAAAGUGUUGAUGAACAAAUCAUGAGAUUUUGAAUGUUGAAAUAGAGGAAUGAUCCUUCCAAAAGAUGAUGCCGCUAAAGAGAGCGACUCACAUGCUCUUGCACACAUCGAAUGUUUGCUGACCGAUACAAAAAUGGCUGAGCCAAUGACUUUUUUGUGAGACAACGCUGUGGCAAACCUGCAAGUGGUCUGGGUUUAUAGGGUACUAACUGUACGCUUGAAGCCUGCGUAUAUAGAAGAGCCUGUGAAAUAGAAAUUUUUAAUUUCAAGUUACCCUUCACUUUAUUAAAUGUACAUGUAGUGGCAAUAAUUUUUUUCUGAUGAAAGUUGAGUUUUUUAUAAUGCAAUUGAUUAUAUUGUAAAUAUGUUGUAAAAUAUCUUUAAUCCGUUCUGGAAGAUAGUUUAUCUAUUGAAAUAGGUUGGUCAUCUGUUAUAUUAUGACGAUGUUAUUUCUAUGAAUAAUCUAAUAAUCUAAGUCUAAUCUGUUGCAACAGUGGUAAGACUUAUUUGAUAAUUUCUAACAGAUGACCUAAAGUUUACAACAUAUGCCUAAAUCUUUUUGAUAUUUUCCAACAGUUACGCUUGAAUAUCCAUGUGCUCGACAACACCAAACCAGUGGCAAAUAUACACACCACCAUGAAAAUUUCAACAAUUAGGCUUAAAUAUCCAUGUGCCCAACAACACCAAACUAGUAGCAAUAACGACAGCAAUGUAGUAUCUUCUUUCUCCAUAUUGUUUCUCUUCAGAAGCCUUGACUUUGUCCAACAAACCCCAGAUUACACGAUUUUCUUGUGAAGGGUGUCAUUCUUCAUACUAAUCAAAGUAAUCGCAUCCAUCCAAUUUCUUUAUUAAAAAAAAAGAGAAUACAAUUACAAAACAAUUAUAAGUCAAUAAUUAAUCAAUUAAUUAAAUAAAAAAAAUUACCUUUGAAAUCUUACAAGUAAAAAACCUACGACCCGGAUUUUAUUGAGUCCAAGAAGUCUUUAACAGAGCUUCAUGACCACACUUACAAUAUCAAAAAUCUUUAUCACAAAAAACAGUGGAAGAUGCACUUGACAUUGACAAGCUCAGUUGGAAAAAAGGAAAGAAAUAAUUUGAAUAGAUAAAAGAAGAUGCUGGUGAAGAAGAAGAUUUGAGAAUUUAGAGUUAAAUUUUAGGAGGAAGAUGAAUAUAUAAAACAAUGGGGGAAAAAAUAACCAUUGGGGGCCAAGUGACGGCAAGUCAGCGAAAUAUGCUAGACUGAUACUAACACAUUUGAUGCCUAUUUUAUUUUACGUGUUUAAAAUGAACACUAUCUACUUGAUGCUUAUCUUAUUUUAGGUGUUUAACUGAACACUGUCGAUGGGUUACGCCUUUUUUAUUUCAAUUCAAUUCACUUUAACCUUUUUACACGUAGUGAUAAUUUUUUAUGUCCAACAAAAGUUGAAUUUUUAUAAUGCAACAGAUUUUUCAUCCGUUGCAACAGUUAUCCUACAUAUUCUGACAUAUAGUUUAUCUGUUUCAAUAGGUUGGUCAUCUGUUGCAUUAUCUCGAUGUUUUUAUCUAAAGUUCAUCUGUUGCAAUAGUGGGAAGACGUGUUUUAUAAAUUAUAACAGAUCCCCUACCUGUUGCAAUAUAUGUCUAAAUCUGUUUGAUUUUUCCAAUAGAUGUGUCAUCUAUUGUAACAGAUACAUUAUCUAUUGCAAUAUUUGAAUCUAGUAUUCCAUUUCAAUUAAUAAGUUCAAAUCUAAGGAAUAAAUAAAAUUUAUAGACAAAAUAAAAUAAAUCAAACCCUUCAUAAAUUAGCUGAAAUAAGUCAACGAAUAAAUGAAAUGCAAAAAAAUUGUUAUGGGUACAGAUCUUAACAAAUACAUCAACAAUAAUUUAAGUAUACAACCAAGGAUUUCUUUGAUUUGACAAGCUCAAGCUAUAAAGAUCUACUUAGUAUGGGAAAGUUGUUCUUUAUCCGGUGCUAUGGAAUUCGACUUUGCUCUUCGUAGAUCUUUAAUGUCGCUUACGUAUGGUUUCUGCGCUUUUUGUUCUCCGUAUUUCUAUAAAAAGAGUAGCAUAUUGUCAAUGUUGUUCAGUAGUAGCUUCUUCUACAUCCACCUAGAAAGCCAGAAUUGGUCAAUGCUAAUCAUGAAGAUACAACAAAACAGAAAAGGAUAACCCAUCUCUUCUAGGAAAGCAAAUAGGUCUUCCUCUCAUUUUAAACUAUCCCAAACAGAUUAUAUUUCUGUUGCAACAAUGAAUCAACUGUUGGGAUAAAUUUCUACAUGAGGAAGAGCCUUUGUGAUAAAUUCCAACGGAUAAACCAUCCGUUGUAACAUAUAAAUCAUCUGUUGCAGCAUAUAGAUCGUCUGUUGGUAAAAAUAAAAGUGGUACGAAGAGCUAUUUGAUUUGCUAAAAUAGACGAGACAUAUGUUGCAAUAGAUAAAGUAUCUCGUGCAACAAGUUAGUCAACUGUUGCAACAGAUGUAUAUAUCUGUUUGAUAAUUUUCAGCAAAUAUGUCAUCUGUUGAAAUAGAUAUGUGUCUGUUUAUUUUAUUAGUUAGAAGACAUAAUAUAUUCACCUUCUUCAGCUCGUGCUGCUCUCCUUUGGACAUUGUACAUUGCUCAGUGCAACACAUAGACAGAGGAGUUGCAAUUUUGCUUUUUUGGAUGCUUAAUAAUGCCCUGGAAAUCACUCUCCUUAUCCUCUUAGCCCUAAUCUCUAAUGGAGUGGAUAGAAAUAAAAUCCCAAUUGAUGGAAUGAGACCUCUCUUAGAUGUCAAUUCCUUUACAGAAGCAGUUAAUACAUUAAUAGCAUUAACCACUACAUCAUGUUUUGCCCUGCAGUCUUGACAUUUGCAUGCAGAAAUUCACUGGGAGAGGCAAAAUCUGUGUAACCAGUAUAAUCAUACUCAUAAUGGUUUGCUUUAAAUACUGUAAGGGGAGCAUUAUUAGCACCAGCAGCAGCACUACUACCACCACCAAUAGCUCCAUCACCACUAAGACCAUCAACAACAACAACAAGCCCACCCUUCAAAAUUGUUUUUCUUGUAAUGGUUGUUUCUCCAAACAAUUCCAUUUUUAUUUUGUCGAUGACCUUAGGGUUCGAUAAAGUUUACACAAACCGUAAAGUAAAAAAAAAUGGCUUCUUCAACUCUCGAUUGGUUGGAACUAGCGACGGAUGCACAAUCUAACAAAAAUCAUUACAUAUAUUAGAAUGAUGAUUAGAUCAUUCAAAAAAAUCAUUAAUUAAAAGAAAAAACUAAUUAUAAUAAUACUUACUGCAUCCUUCGGGGGGUUGAAGAGAUCAAGAAAUUUUACACUUCAGUUUUAGCUGACAACCAUCUCAAGAGUCUUGGACAGGAAACUCCCUUCUGGUAGUUCACUUGUUGUCUCAAAUAAGGAAUGACUUUAAACGUCCAAGCCUAUAAAGUAACGCCAAUAAAUCAAAACCAUUAUUGAACGAAAAAAAUGAAUGAUAUCAUAAUAGAAGAAAGAAAUAUUUACCAUGAAAGCCCAUGGAAAGCCAUAUAAGUUGACUGCCUUUGGUGCUAACGGAGUCAACAAAUAUUUAACAGUCAUUUUGAAGCUUUCAUACCCCCAAGGAUAGCUGUUAAAUGCAUCAAGAUCCUCGGAGAGCUUUAUUAAAUUGAGGCUUAUAUUGUUGUUAACAUCUCUCACCCAAAGAAUAUUAUGUAUAAACCAAACUAAGCACAAUAACUGCUUGUGAUUCUUUGAAAGUACUUUACCUUUCAACGCUUCUAUCAAAUAUUUGUUUUUGAAGGUUGGACCAACAAUGGACACCAGGUCAUCAUGAUCACACGACUUGCCUUUGCCUUUUUUAGGCGUGCGGGAUGCUUUUUUGGAUUAGAAUAAGAAUAACUUUAGAAAGAGGAUAAGAUUUUAGUCCAGUAACUAUGGCAAACUCCUUCCAACCAAAACAAAUAGGCAUGCCACAGUAAUUUAUCCAUACCUCAUCUAUCUUAUCUUUGUCUUCAUACAUAAACCUAAACUUGAGUAGUUCAUAUACCAUUUUUAUUUGGAAACGAGCAUUGUUGUCCUCUGGCAAAUCAAGAUAUUUCCUAAAGCAGCUAUCCCUGAAAUAAGCAUCCAAUUUUUAUUCUCGAAGUAUUUUUCUAAAGGCAUCGAAAGAUUUUCCCAUGGUUGACUUAACCAUGAAAUCACUCGUUAAAUCUGCGGCACCAUAGCACUGCAUUCUCAUAGGAUAACGAUCAAUGCUGAAGGCUUUGACCUGCUCUUUGGUGGAAGGACUAUUAGCAUCUGUAUCAUCUCUUUUGAAACAUCUCUCUUCCCCGUGUUCAUCAUAUUUUGCUCCCGAUUGAGAUAACGCUUGUAAAGUAAGCUCAUAGAGUGGUGGACGUUGCCUAACUGCUUCCCUUGUUCCUUUACUUAGACUUGAUUCAAUUUCUGUUCUUUUGGAAACCAUAUUAUCUAAAAUUAGCAGGAACAUAAAAUAAUAUAUUAUUGUUGAUUAAUGCAUCAUUAAAAAGGAUAACGGUAAAUCAAACAAGCAAAAUAGUAAAAUAAUAGUUGUAACAAAUCAUCAAUUUAUUACACCAGAUAGUAUAUCUAUUACAGUAUAUAACCAAACUGUUGCAGCGGAUGAGUAAUCUGUUGCAACAAUACAAAAUAUAUCACUCAUCUAUUGAGAAAGAUGAAUGGUUUGUGCAAUAGAUCACACAUUUGUUGCAACAUAUGAGUGAUCUGUUGGAACAGUUAAAUAAUCUGUUGCGAUAAUACAAAACAUAUGACUCGUCUAUUGAGAAAGAUGAAUGGUUUGUGCAAUAGAUCACACAUUUGUUGCAACAUAUGAGUGAUCUGUCAGAGCAGUUAACUAACCUGCAGCAACGGCUAAGUAAUCUGUUGUGACAAUAUAAAACAUAUGACUCAUCUGUUGAGAAAGAUGAAUGGUCUGUGCAAUAGGUCACACAUCUGUUGCAACACAUGAGUGAUCUGUUGGAACAAUUAUCAACUGUCAAUAUUAUUUAGAUUUCUUCCACCAUAGGGUCGUCUAUCAUGAUAGAUAAAUAAUCAGUUGGAAAAAUCGGGUCUUGGACAUUUCCUAUAGGAAGAGUUAAUGGGAUUUUAUCCAAUAAGAGGUUCAUCUGUUGCAUCAGAUCAUUAAUCUGAUGAUUCUUCCAUCGUACCAGAUGGUUAAUUAGUUGCAUCAGAUUUUUAUCCGAAGCUUAAUCUGUUGCAAUAUAUGGUAAAGUUAUUGCAUCAGAUAGAUAAUAUGUUGUGUCAGAUUAUUAAUCUGUUGCAUCAGAAUUAUAAUCUGAUGGUUCCUCUGGUGCAUCAGAUAGUUGAUCUGGUGCAUCAUAUAAUAAAUCUGUUGCAUUAGAUGGUUAAUAUGUUACACCAGAUGGGUAAUCUGUCGGAGGAAACAAAAAAUAGUAGCACGAUUUUAUUUAACAAAAACAGAAAUUUCAUCCUUUUUACCAAGAACAAGAAUAGAACAAAUCAAACCAAAUUGUCAUUUUGUUUUUAUAAACACAAAUAAUAAAAAGGCUAUUUCAGACCGCAUUUCAAAUUAGUGCAACAAAUAUUGAAAUUGUUAACCAAUACUAUAAGAGAAGUUGGUUGAAGUUUCUCGUUUUCUUCAAAACUAAAAAGGCCAUAAAUUUUUACCUGUGAAAGAAGAAAAGGAACCAUGAAGAAUUCGAAGUUGUUAUGGCCGGAGAGCAAGGCUGUCAUGUCGAUUGAAGGUUGAAGUCAAAAAGAAACUCGAAGACCAACUAUUUGUAGUCGAAUGUUGAAGUCGUCGAGGAUUGAAAUAAGAAAUUUGUAGAACAGUUGGUUAAGAAAGAGUUGAGAGAAGCUUUCGAGAGAGGGAUGAGAGAUAGGUUGAUUGACUUGAAGAGGAAAAAUCGACGCCCAACUAUUUGUUGCCGGAGGUAGAAGUCUCCGGGGGUUAAAGGGAGAAAAAAGGAGAACUCGAAGCCCAACUAUUUAUCGCCAGAGGUAGAAGUCGUCGGGGGUUGAAGGGAGAAAUUUUGCAGAACUAUUGGUUGGGAAAUAGUUGAGAGAAGUUGAAGAGAGAGGGGAGAGUGGUUGAUUUGGAUUGAAGAGGGGUGUGGGUUGGGUUGAUUUGUAUUUUUGAAAAGAUUAGAAAGUUUUGAAAAUAUUAAUCAAGUCCACAAUAAACUUGAUCAAGUUUCCUCAUGAUGUUUGACCUUAUCUUUUGGUCAAUGUCACCAAUCCUUCAUUCAAGACUUAAAAGACACCUUUCCUUCAAUUUUCUCAGCUAACUUCCUCCCAAAUGUUAGAAGAAUUACGAAAUAUAUUUCAAGGAAACAUUGAAGAAAGUAAACAUUUCCGCACCUAUAGCAGCACAUACAAUAAUAUAUUGACGUUCACCUCUCUUGGAGUAAAUUAUGAUAAAAACUUAGCAAAGAGAGAUCACGGGGAUAUACAUGUUUAGAGUCAAGGGACAAAUGUACCUUUCUAUUGAAGAUUUAGUUCCCCUGAUAAAAGACCUAAAAACUUACAAUUAUACUUCUGUGAUAAUGAAAAUGAUAUAACAAACCGAAUUGCUUUAUCAGAAAAUCUAAGUGAAUUAAGUGUAAAAAAAUUGAUGUGUAUAAUGAAAAUUAACCCAUAUACUACCUUUUUGAAGACACUAACAAAUAUUUCCAAAUUAUCCAAAUUCUACAUAGCUCUUAAAUCAAACUCUGGUUUAAACCAACGAACAUAAAAUUUUCCAAUUUAAUCUAAAGUAGGAACAAUAUGGAUAGAAGAAGAAUCAAAUGGCAAAGUUUCUACACCCCAUAUUCGAAUAUAUACCCAUAAUAAAAAAUCACAAUUGGUCAAUUACUACUAUGGAUGUUAUGAUCUAUUACAGUAUCCGUUGUUAUUCCCUCAAAGUGAAAAUGGAUGGCACUCCGGUAUAAAAAAAGUGAUACAAACAUUUGACAUUUUCAAUUAUCAAACUAACUGUGAAAAUGCACAAUACCAAGUGUAAUGAACAUGACUUCAAUUGAAGGGCUACUUGAUAUGGAAUCUGAAGUUCUUUCAAAGGAUAAUAAAAAAAGGCGUAUUGUUUCUUGUCGCAAAUAUUAUUGUUAUAAACUUCAAACAAGGUAGAAGAAACCAAAUGCAACUUUACAUCCUGGAAGGGUGUUCCAAUAAUAUAUAGUUGACCAAUGCAUAAACUUGAAACACAACGAUUAGAUUUCUUUUUACUUAAUCAAAAUCUAUUUAGAAUUAAAGUACUGCAAGGGAUUAUUGAUAUACUAAGAUAUCGAGAAAGAUACACUUCAAAUAUUAGAAAAGGAUGAAUUCUAACUGCAAGCUUCAUAGGAGGUACAAGACACAUGCGUCGCGGAUAUAUGAAUGUUAUUACAUUGGUACAACAAUUUAGAAAAUCCGACAUAUUCUUGACAAUGACUUGGAGUCCUUUCUGGCCUGAAAUAUAAGAACAUCUACUGCCAAGUGAUGAAGUUCAAAAUAGACCUGAUUUAGUUAGCCGAGUAUUUAAAGAAAAAGUAGAAGAACUUAAAAAAUAUAUCCUAAAAAAGAACAUAUUUGAAAAGGUUGCAGCUUUAAUGUACACGAUAGAAUUUAAAAAAAGUGGCCUUCCUUAUGCACAUUUUCUCAUUAUACUUACAGACAUAUAUAAACUAUUAACGCCUGAGGCUUAUGAUAAAAUUAUUUGUGUUGAAUUGCCAAAUUAUACAGAUCAAGACUUAUACAGUCUUGUAACUAAACACAUGAUUGAUGGACCUUGUGGCUAUUUAAAUCCAACAUGUCCUUGCAUGAAAAAAAACUCUUGCAAAUUUAAAUAUCCUAAAAACUUUCAGAACAAACAAUGAAAGAAACAAAUUCUUACCCCAUUUACAGAAGAUAAAAAAUAGAAGCACCAAUAGAACUAAAGCAAUACAAAAUUGACAAUACUUGGGUGGUACCCUACAAUCCCUAUUUACUGCGAAAAUUCAGUGGUCAUAUUAAUGUUGAAAUAUGUUCAGACAUUAAGGUUGUCAAAUACAUCUACAAAUAUAUUUGUAAAGUCCAUGACAAAAUUGCAUUUCAUGUGCAUAAUGGUGACUCAAAUAUAGAAGUAGAAGAAAUAAAAGCAUAUCAAUUCGCUAGAUGGGUUUCUCCUCCAGAAGCUGCAUGGCGUUUGUUCGCUUUUGCUAUCAGUGAAAUGAUACCAACUGUAUACCAACUUCAACUACAUCUAAAGGCCACCAAUAUGUAUUUUUCAAAAGCAAUCAAAAUGUUGAUCAAAUUCUAAAUAAUCCAAUGAUAAGAAUAACAAUGUUAAAUGAAUUUUGUGAAAUGAAUAGAACAAAUGAACAUGUUAUAGAACUGAACUUAUUAUAUAAAGACUUUUCCAGGCAUUUUGUAUGGUCAGCAACAGACAGAAUAUGGUCAUGCCGACGACCACACAGUAAUGUCAUUAGUAGAAUUGUCACGUGUCAUCCAACCAAAGGAGAACGAUGUUAUCUUAGACUAUUUUUGACUAAUGUAAGAAGGCCUAAAUCAUAUGAAGAUCUCUGCAAAGUUAAUAGAAUAUAUUAUGAUACAUUCAGAGAAGCUGCAGAGAAAAAAGUCUUACUACAUUCCAAUAAAAGUUUAAUAUAAUGUUAGCACGAAGCUGCAGGCUAUCAAAUGUCUUAUAGCCUAAGACGUCUGUUUGCCACAUUAUUAGUUUACUGCAAUUUUGUAAAUCCAAAAGAUCUAUGGGAAAUAUUUAAAGAUUCGAUGUCUGAAGAUUUUAAAUAAAUACCUAAUAUGAAAACAAAAGACAUUAAACAUUCAGUUCUAUAUCAUAUUAAUGAAGUUUUACAUUUAAUAGGACACAAUAGAGAAAAUGGUCAAAAGCCCCCCCAACCUUUACCCCAAAUCCCAACUACACACUCAACUUUUAAAGGUGACCUACUACCCCCUGAACUAUUUUAAAGUGAAAUUAUUAUCCCCUGAACUAUUUUAAAGUGGAAUUAUUAUCCCUCGAAAACUGACAACUAGUCAUUUGAAAUGUGGCAUGAUGCACUGCCACAUCAUGCCACGUCAUUGCCACAUCAUUUUUCUUUUGUUUACUCUAAAAAAAUUAAUUAUUUAACUUUAUUAUUUCCUUUUUUCUUUCUCAAUUUUCAUUUUGCUCCAUUUUCUUCUUCAACCAAUUUCAUCUUCUUGGGUCAAAAAUAAAAUUCUUGAGAAAAAAUGGCGGAUUAAUGAAGUUCUUGAAUGGCGGGUUAAUGAAGUUCUUGAAUGGCGGAUUAAUGAAGUUCUUGAAUGGUGGAUUAAUGAAGUUCUUCAACCCAAUUUCAUCUUUUUUUGCUCAAGAUCGCCAUUAAUGGUGAAUUAUUUCCCAUUGUGGAGAUUUCAAAGCUUUGAGCUCGCCAUUAAUGGCGGAUCUUAAGCAAAAAUAGAGAAAAUCAGAGAAAUGGGUUGAAAAUUAUACAUGGGUUAUGUUGGAAAUUAUAUAUGACAUUGUGAAAAUUCGAAGCUUUGAGCUCCCCAUUAAUGGUGAUCUUGAGCAAAAAGAGAGGAAAUUGAAGUUCUUGAAUUUUUUCAAGUUUUUUGAAUCGGAGUUCCCCAACUUCUUCAUUCAAGAAUUCAUUAAUCGGAGAAAUCUUAUUGUUUCCUUAGUUCAAGUGUUUCUUGGUUUUAGUUUCGGAGCAAAAAGAAUUUCUUAGUUUCGGAGAAACCCAUUAAUGAGGAAGAUAAGGAACUCCAUUAAUGAGUUCUUAAAUUUUUAUUUUGAAAAAGAGAAGAAGAAGACAUGACGUGGCAAUUAGAAUUCAUUAAGAAAAAGUAAUAAUUAAAAUAUUUAUUAUAUUAUUAAAAAUAAUGACAUGGCAAUCAGAAAAAAAGAAUUUAAAGUGAAAUGGGGUCAACUGACGCUCCCAUGGACGGGUGUAGUCACGUCCAGUGACAGGUCAGCAACUGGGGGUAAUAAAUUCGGUAAAAAUAAGUUUAGGGGCUAAUAGGUCACCUUUAAAGGUUGAGUGUGUAGUUGGGAUUUCGACUAAAGGUUGGGAGGUAAUAGACCAUUUUCUCGGACACAAUAUAAAGAAAUUCAACUUUUUUCCUGAAAAUAUUACACCUUUCAGAAUAACUACAAAAGCAAAAGAUAUUCUCUGUGAGAGAAACAUAAUAGUUACUGAAGAAGAUCUUUUGUUACAAAGAAAGUUAAACAGGCAUAAAAAAUAGCAUAUAAUAUAAUACUUAUAAGGUAUAUUCUAAUAAAUUAGGUUUUUUUUUGGUUGACGGUCCAGGAGGAACCAAAAAAAUAUUUUUAUAUAGAGUUUUAUUGGCAAAUGUAAGAUCAAAAGGAUUUAUAGCCUUAGAAACUGCUAACUCUGGUGUUGCAGCUUCAAUUCUCUCCAGAGGUUGAACUGCACACUCGCGAUUCAAAAUUUCAAUUGAUAUUGACAGUAACUUUACUUGCAACAUUAGUAAACAAAGUUCAUUAGCAUCUUAAUUUGAGAUUCAAAAUUAAUUAUUUGGGAUGAAGUCUCCAUGACCAAAAAUAAAAUGAUACAAGCAUUUGAUAUCCUUUUAAAGGACUUAACAAGUAAAACAUGCCUGUUUGGCGAAAAAGUCGCCGUCUUUGAUGGGAACUUUAGACAAACACUACCCGUUGUUCGUAAUGGAAAGAGGGAAGAUUUCGUACAUGAAAGCCUGUUAUAUUCCGUUAUUUGGAAUCAACUAGAAAAGUUAUAAAAAAAACAUGCUAGCAAAAGAAGAUCCUACUUUCUGCGAAUAUCUAAUGUGAAUUGGAAAUGGACAAGAGAUAACCAACAACAGCAAUAAAAUUCAAACUCCCCCUGAUUUUAUUAACCCAUUUACAAAUGAGACAGAAUGCCUUAAUCAAUUAUUCAGAGAAACUUAUCCUAAAAUAAAUACAGUCUUCUCAGCUUCAUCUUCUAUGACUUCACAAAUUAUUUUAACUAUCAAAAAUGACUUUGUUAAUGAAAUUAAUGACAUGCUUAUAAAUUAUCUUUUUAAUAAUGCUCAAGUUUAUACUGCAAUCGAUGAAACUAUAGAACCAAAUGACCAAUGUGAAUUUGAAGAUUUUUUACACACCUUAAAUCCUGCAAAUUCCCCCCAUACAAGUUGACUUUGAAAAAAGAUUGCCCUGUUUUAUUACUGCAAAAUUUAAAUCCUUAUGAAGAAUUAUGUACAUAAUUAAUAUAUAAUAAUUUUAACAAGCAUGUUAUUAGUGCUACUAUUGCUAGCGGCGAUUUUAAAAAUACACAUGUAUUUAUUUCAAAAAUACCAUUAAUGACAUCAGUAGAUGAAAAUAUGCAUGUUGCUUUUAAAAGAACAUAAUUCUUAAUUCGAUUAUAUUUUACAAUGACAAUAAAUAAAGCUCAACGUCAAACAUUGAAUUUUGUUGGAAUUUAUUUACGUGAAUUAGUUUUCUCACAUGGCCAACUUUAUGUCGCUUUAUCUAGAGUCAAAACUUCAAAAAAUAUCAAAAUAUUAAUACGACCAUCUACAGUAGAAGAUACAGAUGACCAUUCUACAUAUAGUAUAGUAUAUGAAGAAAUUAUAUAAAAAGCAUUUACAUGAAAACAUAAUUUCUCUAUCCUUCAGAAAAAAAAUUGUAAAGCCUAAAAUGUCACCAACUAUGUUACCAUAACAGUUAUGCAAAAUUUUUGUGCUACAAAAUAAUGUUAAUAAUCUUACACUUUAUUGUUGUUAUGUGCCCGAAAUUCUAUCCCCGGCCUUUUCAGAGGUAUUGCAUCCACCAUAGCAUUACAUAAAGUUGUUACCAAUUGUCUUACUACUACGUAUUUCCAGAAUAUCAGUAACAGUAUGUUGUUUUCCUGCUUAACUUUUAACAAUUUUGGUUGUCCCUUUUCUAAAGAAAUUAUCUAUACAUACUUUUGUUCUACUUGACAGGUUGGUGUUUUCACCGUUAAAACAGAAAUGUCACUAUUAGAUGAGUUUCAAAAGUUCUUCCUAAUGCAUUAUUCAAGCUACAAAUAGAAAAAAUGCACAAAAGAUAGAAAGUCAUUUGAUUGUGCAAACUGUAAACGGUAAACAAAGCUGACAUAUCUUUUAGCAUAAUAAGUUGUUGUCAUCAUUUGUGUGACUUCUACUGUUGUGAAUGAAGUGAUGCUGGUCCAUCUUGAAAAGAAUUCUCCUUUGUAAAAUAGGAUUGGCAGUAAUAUCUCUUGAAAUAGCCCUUCGAGCCAUGAAUCAUUUGAGAGUUCUUCAAAGGGGAAGAGAAAUUUAGAGUUUUUUAUUUGUUUGCACAUUGUAGUAGCAUUAAAUUGCUACUUAAGGCUAUGCUAUACUUUUGGCCUGGAAAUUCAAAAGAGAUUUCGAGUGGCCUUGUCGAUAUAUCUGUUAUCUAUGAAUUCAUCUAAGAACCUAAUCAAGCUCUCGAGUUUCUUCAGAAGGCCAUAAAAGCGUAUCGAAAUGCACCAGGACAACACAACACUAUUGCAGGAACUGAAGCCCAGAUUGAGGUCUUGCACUAUAUUAUAGGGGAGUAUAUGAAGUCUUACACAGACACAUUAGGGAUCUAUAUCAAUGUUGCUAGAACUUAUGAUGUAAUGGGAAGGUAAUUACCGUCUUUUAUAUUGAUCUACCAUAUAGUUUUCUUUAUUGUCAUAUUACUAUGACAUUUACUUUCUAGUUUUUGAUUCUUCGUUACAACAAUGUAGUCAUCAUUACUGCAAUUAAGUUAUCUCACUUGAACAUUUUCCAUCAAUGUUGAAGUUCUAUCUGAUUUGAAUUACUAUUGCAUUGUGGAAAAUGAUUUUGAACUGUCACUUAUGCUCAGUUUUAUUUUUGUAUUACUGAAACUCAGUUAUGAUGCCUGUCUUUUUGUAAUUGUUUUCCAAUGAGGUUUUCCUUGUACUCUAAUUUCCUUGUCUAUUCUUUAUUUGGUCUUUCUUGUACUCUAAGUUCCUUAUACUAUAAAUGUCAUGUAUUUUUGAUAAUUUAGAUAUACAACAACAAACCCAGUGUAUUCCCACUUAGUGGGGUCUGGGGGGGGUAAGAUGUACGCAGUCCAUACCUCUACCUCUGAUGAAGUAGAAAGGCUGUUUUCGAAAGACCCCCGGCUCAAGACACAAGAUAUCACACAAACACAUAGUAAAGCACAGAAGCAGAUGACAUAACAUAAAUACGGCACCCAUAAGAAAUAUAAAACAGCGGAAAGCAGAGGAAAGCACACAGAUUCGUAAUAAGCAUGGGACACUGAAUACGGAAUCAUAACGGGAAUAAAAAUAAAAAAAAACCCCACCGAGUAAUUCCCUACCCUAGCGACCCAAUCUGGCCCUACUCUUCUGCCGUAAUUCGCGUCUUCCAGACCUUCCUAUCUAGGGUCAUGNNNNNNNNNNNNNNNNNNNNNNNNCCAACGCUAGCCUCUCACACCUACGGACCGGGGCAUCCAUGCCCCUCCUCUUCACGUGUCCGAACCAUCUCAAUCGUGCUUCCCGCAUCUUACACUCCACUGAAGUCACACCAACCUUCUCCCGGAUAGUCUCAUUCCGAACUCUAUCCCCUCGAGUCAGUCCACACAUCCAGCGCAACAUCCGCAUUUCUGCCACCUUCAUUUUUUGGAUGUGGGAGUUCUUAACUGGCCAACACUCCGCUCCAUACAGCAAGGCCGGACGGACUACCACCCUAUAGAAUUUGCCUUUAAGCUUGGGCGGCACCUUCUUAUCACACAGCACCCCCGACGCGAGUUUCCACUUCAUCCAUCCCGCCCCAAUACGGUGCGAGACAUCCUCGUCAAUCUCACCGUUACUCUGGAUCACGGACCCGAGAUACUUGAACUUAUCCCUCUUACAUACCUCCUGUGCUUCCAGCUUCACUACUACCUCGUUCUCCCGCCUCACGUCAUUAAACUUACAUUCCACAUACUCUGUCUUGCUUCUGCUCACCCUGAACCCUUUAGACUCAAGAGUUUGCCUCCACAUCUCUAAUUUGUCAUUUACACCCCCUCGAGUCUCAUCUAUCAGAACUACAUCGUCUGCAAAGAGCAUACACCACGGCACCUCCCCUUGAAUACGCCGCGUCAACACAUCCAUUACUAACGCAAACAAAAAGGGACUAAGAGUAGAUCCCUGAUGCAAUCCUGUCCGGACAGUGAAAUGCUCUGAGUCUCCUCCCGCCGUCCUCACCUGGGUUUUCGCUCCCUCAUACAUAUCCUUAAUUACUCUGAUAUAUGCCUGCGGUACUCCCCUCACCUCCAAGCAUCUCCAAAGCACCUCCCUGGGGACUUUGUCGUAAGCCUUUUCCAGGUCGAUAAACACCAUGUGCAGAUCCUUCUUCCUUUCCCUAUACUGCUCCACCAACCUCCAUACCAGGUGGAUUGCCUCCGUCGUCGAGCGGCCGGGCAUAAAUCCGAAUUGGUUUUCCGAGAUAGACACUAUCCGUCUCAGCCUCACCUCGACCACUCUCUCCCAGAUGCCAAAUAAUGUGGAAAAUCCUCAAGAUGGAGACGCCAGGAAGUCUUCGGAUGCUUCUUCACCACCACCUACUAGUCUCCCGUCGACUUGGUAUAGUGGCUUACUUCAGCAAGCAUCAGUUUAUGGGGUAGCUCCUCGAUACUGUCUAUUAUUAGGAUUUUUGCCCUGAUUUUCUUAUCAAAAUUAAAUUAUACUUUUAUUGGAAGGAACAUAAAAGUUACCAUAAUUACUUUUACUUUUCCUAAAAGAAAAAUAUAAAACUCUCUCAUAUUUGGCUAACCUCUUUCUUGGAGGAAAGGUUUUUGACAUCUAUAAAUAGAAGACCUUCUCAUACCAUAACACAAUAGCAUCCACAAUCUAGUCCUUAAUGAGUCUUGUUUAUGGGGAGAUUUUCUCUCAUAGUAUUUUAUAUUUUUUAUUUAUCUUUUAAUAUGUAGGUCGAUUGGUCAAACUAUAUCAAUAAUAUUAUGCCUUUGUAGUUUAGUUUUGUGUCAGCUGAAUUAUCAUCAUAUUAGUUUUCAAACUUUAAGCUUCCUCAUGACACCUCUCAAUUUCGAAUUCAACAAGUGGUAUCAGAGCCUGCGAUUCAAAGGUCUAAUGGUUUGGUGAAACGAGGUUGAAGACAAGUUCAAGGCGGUUCAAAAUCAAUUUACAACCAAUUUAAUGAUAAUGAAGAUAUAUGUUCAAGAUACUACAUGUGGAUAAAAAGUUUCAAACAAAUUUUCAACAAUCAUGCUACUAAUCCAUCUUUAAAACCAAAAUCAAUUUUCAACCCAUGUUUAUAGGCUCCAACUUUCAACCUUUGCUGAUUUUUAUGCUAGGGUUCUUUUCAACUCGUGCAUUUAUUUUUAACGCAUGAGCUCCACGCUUAACCUGUGCUCACUUUCAAUGCACAAGGCUCCACUUUCAACCCUGUUCACUUAUAACACAAGGCUCCAAUAAUAUCAACCCAUGUUUUUAUUUUUAACGCAUAGGGAUUCAAUUUUUAACCCAUAUCAAUUUUUAAUCAUGGUAAGCAACAGUGUAUAUGAAGAUCGUGUGAAGAAGGGGGAUCAAGAAUAUUUUGCUAGAAAAUUACGCCAAAAAGGAGAGAUUUGUUAGAUUUUUGCCCUGAUUUUCUUACCAAAAUUAAAUUAUACUUUUCUUGGAAGGAAAAUAAAAGUUACCAUAAUUACUUACAUUUCCUGAAAGGAAAAUAUAAAACUCUCUCAUAUUUGGUUAACCUCUUUCUUCUAGGAAAGGUUUUUGACAUCUAUAAAUAGAAGACCCCCUUCUCAUACCAUAACGCAUUAGCAUCCACAAUGUAGUCGUUAAAAGAGUCUGGUCUAGUAGGGGGAGAUUUUCUCCCAAUAAAUUUUACUUUUUUUUUCAAUAUUAAUUUUUAAUAUGUAGAUCAUUUGAUCAAAUCAUAUUAAUAGUAUGUUUUUAUUAUAGUUUUUCUUUGUCAUAUGAUUUAUCUUCUUUUUGGUUUGUAAAAUUUAAGCUUCCGUAUGACGCCCUCUCGAUUUCGAACCCAACAUCUAUCAGGAUCAUUACUCUCCAUCAUUAACAAGUGAGAUGUUAUGAAAUUUCCUUACCCAGGGGCACUAACUGCAUUGCAGUAUUUCACAAGCGCAGCUGGAGUCCUCAUAUGCGGGUGGCUCCAAUGUUGAUACUUCUAUUGUCUUUAGAUCAGUUGUCCCCAUCUUUGUUGCAAUAGGAGAGAUCCUCUACUUGCACCAACCAUGGCCAACAAUUAAAACAUGGGUGUCACUGGGUACAAUCUUUGCUGGUAGCGUGCUCUAUGUCAUUACUGAUUCCUAGUUCACACUAACAGCUUAUAGCCGGGCAUUGGCUUACUUAGUAAGCAUGUCCAUUCAUUUUGUAUAAUAUCAAGCAUGUAGUAAUGAUUAGCUAGACUGCCCUCUCUUAGAUGCAAGCAAAUUCUCAAUCAUCUUUCUUUCUUUUUUUAUUUUUAUGAGUUUUUAAUUAUUAUUUCUAAUUUCUCUCAAAAGCAGCAUUACCCAAAAGAAAAUAUAGAAGUUAAGAACCUACGAUCUUACUGACAUAUUGGAACUUGCCUUGUCUGUAAACUAUAUUUUUUUAUAUAUUCAUUAACGAUAAAAAGUACAUUUUUGCUUAUUUCCAUUUGUUUGUAAAUUAAUAUAUUGGGCUCGUGCUUAGUACGGACCUUGAUCAUCUAGUAUAUGUAUAUAUAUAUUGAUAUAUUUUGCGCAUCACAUGAAUACAUAUAUUAGUAAAUAGUCAAUACAAAUAAAUAUUAGUGUAGUAACGUUAGUCUGACAUCUGCCAAGUUUUCUAAAUAUAUUUGACAAGUUUGAGGAUACUCAUGUAUAAUAUGCAUCUUUUUCUUAUUUAAGUUUUCAACUUGUAUUCCGAUUUCUCUUGGACAUCGAGGACAUAUCAAUCAAUUACAUCAUCUGGCAUCGUUAGUUGAACAAAAUCUUAGUUGGCUCUUACAGAUCCACUCAGGUAAGUUAAUGGAGAAACUACUGGAUUCAGGAUUGUUUGGUACCACUUAUAAUGUAUAAUAAUUUUGAAAUAAAAUGUAAAAUUAUAUUAUUCUAUAUUUGAUUGGUGAUUUUAAUUAAUUUCAAAAUCAUUUACAUUAUAAUAGUGAGAUAAAUUAUCUAUAUACAUAAUGAAAUAACUUAUUUCAAAAUAUGUGCCAUUGAUUUGAAGAGUUAUUUCGAAAUAUGUGCGAUUGAUUUGAAGAUUUCAUUCAGAUAAAUUUUCAAUUGCUUCAGUAGGGAGGCCAAAGCCAGAUAGAUCAUUUAUAGUUAAAUUAAAUAAAUGAUUCGCAACAGGAUUUGAAAUUUAUGAGUUGAAAAUUUAAAAAUAUAAUAUCAAGUAUUAAUAAUUGAAUUAAUUUUGAAUGUAUAACUAGAAAAUAACUUAAAUAACCGCUAUUUAAAAAUUAUAUCCAUCACAUAUAUAAUAUGUCACACUCCUAUUUUAAUCAAAAAGAUUUGAUUUUAAAGUUUGAAAGGGUUUUUAUUAGUAAAGUUACAAAAGCUGAAAACUAUUUCGAAAAGGAUUCAUUUUAUAAUCAAAUCAGAGUCGCACUUGGCAUAAUCGGGUGUGUCAAGUCACCCUUUGAAAAUCCUUUUGCGAAACUGUUUUUGACUCUUUUAAACUGCUUUGCGAACAGAGAUUCCGGUUAAGGAAUUCUGUUGAUCGAGGGAAGGCGUUAGACACCCCUCGAUCUCAUGGAUCGAUCACGAUCGCUUUGGGGAGCAUAUCCACUAAUUUGACACUACAAAAUGUAUAAACCACACACACACAAAAAAAAAAAAAAACAAUCAAAACAAACAACAAACAAAUGAAUCCUGAAAAAUAUAAUGUUCAGUCCAAUUAUACAGUCCCAAAAUAGAAAAAUGCAGAAAUGUAAACCUACACUAAUCCUAAGCAACGCUCCAAUGCUUUACCAAAUGCUUUGGGCCUUCGUCAUGGAUGUCCUCCCAGUACAAAAUAUUUUGGGGCAUUCCCAAGUGAAUAAGUACAAUAUAAUCUCGGGGCAUUCCCCGACGAAUGAAUACAUCAUCUAACCUUAUGCAAUAAAAUAGAAGAAAACGUUCACACGCACAUUCAAACUUUCAACAUUCAACUAUAUCCCUAAAUUUGCCUACCCGAACCUAAACUUUGCUUAUUAAACUUUCGGCCUAAAAUAUGCUCCUAUCGAGUUCACAAACUUGAUAUUUAUUCCGAAUUAAACAAAACAACAAUAAACCAAAAUUAACUUAAAUUCACCCUUUUUAUCAACUUCUCAUUUCUACCCCAAAUUUUCUUUUAUACGUUACUUUUCACACAAAGCGAUAAUCCAAACUCAUGCAACAUCAAAUUCAUACCAUGAUUAAUUAUUCAUGGAUAACCAAUAUCAAAUAUCAACAAGAUCAUCCAUUCACAAACCAACAACACACAAUCAUACAUCAAUGCACCAAAUCGAAACAAAACGAAAAGGAAUCAAAGAAUUGGACCUCAAAUAUCGAUUUCAAUAUAUUGGAGAUAGCACUGAGCCCGGAAAAUCUCAAUUCGAACCUCGACCAACAAAAUUCAACUCUGUAUCGAGAAACAGCAAGCGGACAGAUCCAAUUCUCGUAGACCCGACUCUAUCUCAUCCGUUUCCGGCGAAGGUCACCGGAAUCAGACCGUAAACAAUCAAUUUCAGUCGAUUUGGGAACGAUUUCACUAAUUCCGUCCGGUUUACUGAGUUUUCCGAUGGGAAACCAGUUAUCAAAAAAAUCGAGCCAUGGGAAUUUCUCAACUCUCAGUCGUCCUCUCUCUAUCUCUAACUUCUCUCACCCAAUCUCUCUCUCGCAUCUCUGUUUUUCUCCAAUCUCCCUCACCUCUCUCGAUUUCUCUCACUGUUAUCCGAUCUACUCUUUGUUUUCCUCUGUUUUCUGCUUUUUCCAAUUCGUGAGUGCGUGUACUUAGUGAGAUUUUUAUGGGUGUGUGAGCAGUGUGCUUCCGAUGAACUAUUCCAUGGAAAUUGGGAGAGGAUCCGUAUAUAUUGGUGGAGUAUCUGUGUAUAUUGGUGGAGCAGUCUGUGUGUAUAAAGGAGGAUGGUGAGUCUGUGUUUUUUUUGUGAGUGGAGGUGUGAUGUCGACUUCUUCCGUGUGUGAGGAGAAGAAAAAUGGAAGAUCCUCUUUUUGUGGUUAUGUCCCGUGAUAUGGGUCUUCUGUGUCUUUUUUUUUGUGUUGUGCGUAUGGUGAUAUAUCUAAUGGAAAAGAAAAAUCCCCCCCCAGGUCAAAGUGUGUGCUUAUGUGGUCCCC
rnacentral:lncRNA from 1 species